UGAGAAAACUGAGGCUCGGAGAGGUGACGUUAGGUGCCUAAGGCCACGUGGGAUGGUCCGUGGAGCCGGACCCAGGAUGCUCCCGGGGUGUGGAUGACCAGCCGCCCAGCCCCGCACGGCCCAGGCCCGGAUGCCGCGCCCUUGUCUCCUGACCCGGGGACCCCGCCCGUCGCGGGACUGAGCUUCCAGAAGCCGCCGAGCGAGCGGCGACGGCGCAGGGACCCGGGGGAAGGGGCUCGGCGCCGGCGGGAAACAUUUUCCCCCAGCGGCUCGGCAAGAUGACCAGCCUGUUCCGCCGGAGCGGCGGGGGCGGCGGCGGGGGCGGCGGCUCGGCGACGGCGCGCGGGGCUGGGGGCAGCGCGGCCGCCUCGCAGGAGCUCAACAACAGCCGGCCCGCCCGCCAGGUGCGCCGCCUCGAGUUCAACCAGGCCAUGGACGACUUCAAGACCAUGUUCCCCAACAUGGAUUACGACAUCAUCGAGUGCGUGCUGCGUGCCAACAGCGGCGCCGUGGACGCCACCAUCGACCAGCUGCUGCAGAUGAACCUGGAGGCGGGUGGCGGCAGCGUCUACGAGGACAGCUCGGACUCGGAGGACAGCAUCCCCCCGGAGAUUUUGGAAAGGACCUUGGAACCUGAUAGCUCUGACGAGGAACCCCCGCCUGUGUACUCCCCUCCAGCCUACCACAUGCACAUGUUCGACAGGCCUUACCCUCUGGCUCCCCCAACUCCACCUCCCCGCAUCGACGUGCUGGGCUCCGCGCCCCCUUCCGGCCAGAGGCGCUAUCGGAACUGGAACCCCCCACUGCUAGGCAACCUCCCCGAAGACUUUCUCCGCAUCCUGCCCCAGCAGCUGGACAGCAUACAGGCUACCUCCGGGGGCUCCAAGCCUGUGAUCACAGAGGGAGGCCGGCCCCUCACGGCCGGGCCCGGACCCCGGGACCAGGAGAACCGCUGGAAGCAAUACCUGGAGGACGAGAGGAUCGCGCUCUUCCUGCAGAACGAGGAGUUCAUGAAGGAGCUGCAGCGCAACCGCGACUUCCUCCUUGCCCUGGAGAGAGAUCGAUUGAAAUACGAGUCCCAGAAAUCUACAUCCAGCAGCGUAGCUGUGGGAAAUGACUUUGACUUUCCCGCUCCUGUCCCAGGAACCAGCGACAACAACCCCGCUGCAUCUGAAGAUGCCUUAUUCAGGGACAAGUUGAAACACAUGGGAAAAUCCACCCGGAGGAAGCUGUUUGAACUGGCCAGGGCCUUCUCGGAGAAGACCAAGAUGAGGAAGUCAAAGAGGAAACACUUGUUGAAGCAUCAGUCACUGGGGGCUGCGGCAUCAACAGCCAAUCUCCUGGACGACGUGGAGGGCCACACUUGUGACGAAGACUUCAGGGGAAGGCGACAGGAGGUGCCCAAGGUGGAGGAAGCACUAAGGGAAGGACAGUAAGAGGUGCCCUUGGUGUAGCUCAGCUGGGCUACCGCUGUAUCACAGAACAGGCCAGGCACCCAGGCACACCUCUCAGACAGCUGCUUCACCCCACCCGCCCCACUCCAUCUCUAGCUGCCAGAGUCCCUGCUGUUUUGCAAGUUGGAAUGUUUCUAGGAGCUUGGAUUGAUGUAGCAGUUUCUCCUCGCCGGAGACCAUCUGACCCGGUAGAGGCAGCCACAGAGCAAACCGGCCCUCCGCUGAAGAGCCCAGCUGCAGCCGGACUGAUGGUGCUUGAGUUCUGAGGCCCAGUGGUUCUCCAGCCACAGUCCAGCCCAGCCACUGCCACUGCCACUUCCCAAGGGACUUAGAACUUCCGAGUUGCAUGCUGUGAUUGGAGGAAGGGCCUGAGGGUGGAGGCGGCAGCCAACCACAGUCCCUUUCGUAGCCAGGCUGUUCUGUGGGGAACGAGUGGAAAUGUAGGAUCUAACCCCUCUUCUUAAAAAAAAAAAAAAAAACACCCAGAAAACUGGCAAAGGUUGGAGUACCCAGAAGGGGAGGAUGAUCCUACCAGAGGCUCGUUGGCCUGAAGGUGGAGCCCCUGCCCCCCUCUUGUCCUGGUCUCUCCUGUCGGGCCACAGACACUGCCUGAUCCCAUACCCCCAUCCGCAGCUCCCUUCUGGGCACCUAGGGUCCUUUAUUCCCAUGGCCUUCUGCAUCUCAGUCUUUCCCCAGGGGUGCUGGUCCUUGGCACUCCCCUGCACGGAGCUCUGGGUGAGAAAGCCCUGGGCAGUCACUCGGGCCCGCUCUGAGGAGUGAUGGGCCACUGCAGAGAGGUAUCUGCUGAGUACCCUGCCUGGGCCCCUCGGGCUGCCUCUGUUAGGGGCUGGCAAGGGCCCCCAGCAGGGAUGGGGAGGCUGGCCACCCCGGAGCUGGCGGAUUCUAGCUAGGCAGGGGUAGUGUUUACUCUGACAGAAGACAAAAGUCAGUCCUGGAUGGGAUCCUGUAGUCCCACAACAGUGGGGGCUCCAGGGGCUCUGACUCCCCAGUUGGACUAGAAGUUCUGCUGUCAUUAAGGGUGGGCAGCGGCCAGUUCUUUAGUAACCCUGAGAAGGUGCAGGACUGAGGGGCAAGAAGGAGAGGCUGCCAGCCGGGCCAGAGCCUCUGGGGCAGAAGGGCUUGCUGGGUGCCCCUUGCCAAGAGUGAGAAGGCAAAUGGCCAGGAGGAAAACAAGGGUCCUACGAACCUGACCCGGCACCAACCACUGCCAACGGGAGGGAGGGAGGGAGGGAGGGAGGGGCAGCCGGGCUUCCGUGGCCCGGCUGGAGGCGGGAAGGCGCCGACCUCGGGAGAACCGGGGAGCCGGGCAGGCACGGGGCUAGGGCCCGAGCGGGGAGCCAGCCCAGCGGCACGGCGGUGGGGCGUUGGGGGCGGGCGCCAAGCCUGGCGGGGCUUGGAGGCCGUAAGCCACCUCGAGAUAGUGAGGGCGUGGCGGGCUCCCCGCGGUGCCGGAGGGGGACCCUGGCCCGGCUCAGCCUCCCGAGCGAGUGCGGAAGUGCUGCCGCCCUCCAAUCCCCACCGCCCCCCAAGGGCUCCUGAUGACCGGGCACAGAAGAGGGGGAGCGCCAGUCGCCCCCCACCCCCAACCCCCGUCCGUGUGUGUGGCUUUGUCAGUUUUUUUGUUUUUGUUUUUUCUCCUGCGUGUGGGUUUUAUCUUGGAGCAGUUUCAUAGGAAUUCGUGUAAUAAAGACUUGGUGUUCUCUUGGUGCUCUGA